AGAGUUCGAUCCUGGCUCAGGAUGAACGCUGGCGGCGCGCCUAACACAUGCAAGUCGAACGAUUAAAGCACCUUCGGGUGUAUAUAAAGUGGCGAACGGCUGAGUAACACGUGGGCAACCUGCCUUUUGCUUUGGGAUAGCCAUGGGAAACUGUGGGUAAUACCGAAUAAUCCGCUAACCUCGCAUGAAGUUAGCGGCAAAGCUUUUGCGGCAAAAGAUGGGCCCGCGGCCUGUUAGCUUGUUGGUGAGGUAGAAGCUCACCAAGGCGAUGAUGGGUAGCCGGGUUGAGAGACCGACCGGCCAGAUUGGGACUGAGACACGGCCCAGACUCCUACGGGAGGCAGCAGUGGGGAAUCUUGCGCAAUGGGCGAAAGCCUGACGCAGCGACGCCGCGUGCGGGACGAAGGCCUUCGGGUCGUAAACCGCUUUCAGCAGGGACGAGGCGAAAGUGACGGUACCUGCAGAAGAAGCCCCGGCUAACUACGUGCCAGCAGCCGCGGUAAUACGUAGGGGGCAAGCGUUAUCCGGAUUUACUGGGUGUAAAGGGAGCGUAGACGGCUGUGCAAGUCUGAUGUGAAAACCCGGGGCUCAACCCCGGGACUGCAUUGGAAACUGUGCGGCUAGAGUGUCGGAGAGGUAAGUGGAAUUCCUAGUGUAGCGGUGAAAUGCGUAGAUAUUAGGAGGAACACCAGUGGCGAAGGCGGCUUACUGGACUGUAACUGACGUUGAGGCUCGAAAGCGUGGGGAGCAAACAGGAUUAGAUACCCUGGUAGUCCACGCCGUAAACG
rnacentral:rRNA from 1 species